rnacentral:rRNA from 1 species
AUGGGCGGGGAGGUGCCGGAGCCGCGGCGGCUCAGCCGCGCGCUCAGCUUCGGCUGCGGCGGCGUGCCCGACGAGGCGCUGCACCUCGUCAUGGGCUACGUCGACGCCCCGCGCGACCGGGAGGCCGCCUCGCUCGUCUGCCGCCGCUGGCACCGCAUCGACGCGCUCACCCGCAAGCACGUCACCGUCGCCUUCUGCUACGCCGCCGACCCGGCCCGCCUCCUCGCGCGCUUCCCGCGCCUCGAGUCGCUCGCCCUCAAGGGCAGGCCGCGCGCCGCCAUGUACGGCCUCAUCUCCGACGACUGGGGCGCCUACGCCGCGCCCUGGGUCGCCCGGCUCGCCGCGCCGCUCGAGUGCCUCAAGGCGCUCCACCUGCGACGCAUGACCGUCACCGACGAUGACGUCGCCGCGCUCAUCCGCUCCCGCGGCCACAUGCUGCAGGAGCUCAAGCUCGACAAGUGCUCCGGCUUCUCCACCGACGCGCUCCGCCUCGUCGCCCGCUCCUGCAGAUCCUUGAGAACAUUAUUUCUUGAAGAAUGUGUGAUUGCUGAUGAAGGUGGUGAAUGGCUUCAUGAACUUGCUGUCAACAAUUCUGUUCUUGUGACACUGAACUUCUACAUGACUGAGCUCAAAGUGGUGCCAGCUGAUCUGGAGCUUCUAGCAAAGAACUGCAAAUCAUUACUUUCUUUAAAGAUCAGUGAGUGUGACCUUUCAGACCUGAUUGGUUUUUUCGAAGCAGCCAAUGCAUUGCAAGAUUUUGCUGGAGGAUCGUUCAAUGAGAAACUGGACUUGCAGUACACUUUCCUCACCACUGAGGAUCAUUGCCAGCUUAUCUCAAAAUGCCCGAACCUAUUUGUUCUCGAGGUGAGGAAUGUGAUAGGAGACAGAGGGCUAGAGGUUGUUGGUGAUACAUGCAAGAAGCUACGAAGACUUCGAAUUGAGCGAGGGGAUGAUGAUCCAGGUCUCCAAGAAGAGCAAGGAGGAGUUUCUCAGUUAGGCCUGACAGCGGUAGCUGUUGGUUGCCGUGACCUGGAGUACAUAGCUGCCUAUGUAUCUGAUAUCACCAACGGCGCUCUCGAAUCCAUCGGGACCUUCUGCAAAAAUCUCUACGACUUCCGGCUUGUCCUGCUCGACAGACAAAAGCAGGUAACCGAUCUGCCGCUCGACAACGGUGUUCGAGCUCUGUUAAGGAGCUGCACCAAGCUCCGGAGAUUUGCUCUCUACCUGAGACCUGGAGGGCUCUCAGACACAGGCCUCGACUACAUCGGGCAGUACAGCGGCAACAUCCAGUACAUGCUACUGGGCAACGUCGGCGAAUCGGACCACGGGUUGAUCCGCUUCGCAAUAGGAUGCACCAACCUGCGGAAGCUUGAGCUUCGGAGCUGCUGCUUCAGCGAGCAAGCCCUGUCCCUCGCGGUGCUCCACAUGCCCUCGCUCAGGUACAUAUGGGUGCAAGGCUACAAGGCCUCUCCAGCAGGCCUGGAGCUCCUCCUCAUGGCGAGGCGAUUCUGGAACAUCGAGUUCACGCCCCCCAGCCCCGAGGGCUUGUUCCGCAUGACGCUCGAAGGAGAACCCUGCGUGGACAAGCAGGCCCAGGUUCUUGCCUACUACUCCCUUGCCGGGCAGAGGCAGGACUGCCCUGACUGGGUGACCCCGUUGCAUCCAGCCGCAUGA